rnacentral:rRNA from 1 species
GACGAACGCUGGCGGCGUGCCUAAUACAUGCAAGUCGAACGAACUCUGGUAUUGAUUGGUGCUUGCAUCAUGAUUUACAUUUGAGUGAGUGGCGAACUGGUGAGUAACACGUGGGAAACCUGCCCAGAAGCGGGGGAUAACACCUGGAAACAGAUGCUAAUACCGCAUAACAACUUGGACCGCAUGGUCCGAGCUUGAAAGAUGGCUUCGGCUAUCACUUUUGGAUGGUCCCGCGGCGUAUUAGCUAGAUGGUGGGGUAACGGCUCACCAUGGCAAUGAUACGUAGCCGACCUGAGAGGGUAAUCGGCCACAUUGGGACUGAGACACGGCCCAAACUCCUACGGGAGGCAGCAGUAGGGAAUCUUCCACAAUGGACGAAAGUCUGAUGGAGCAACGCCGCGUGAGUGAAGAAGGGUUUCGGCUCGUAAAACUCUGUUGUUAAAGAAGAACAUAUCUGAGAGUAACUGUUCAGGUAUUGACGGUAUUUAACCAGAAAGCCACGGCUAACUACGUGCCAGCAGCCGCGGUAAUACGUAGGUGGCAAGCGUUGUCCGGAUUUAUUGGGCGUAAAGCGAGCGCAGGCGGUUUUUUAAGUCUGAUGUGAAAGCCUUCGGCUCAACCGAAGAAGUGCAUCGGAAACUGGGAAACUUGAGUGCAGAAGAGGACAGUGGAACUCCAUGUGUAGCGGUGAAAUGCGUAGAUAUAUGGAAGAACACCAGUGGCGAAGGCGGCUGUCUGGUCUGUAACUGACGCUGAGGCUCGAAAGUAUGGGUAGCAAACAGGAUUAGAUACCCUGGUAGUCCAUACCGUAAACGAUGAAUGCUAAGUGUUGGAGGGUUUCCGCCCUUCAGUGCUGCAGCUAACGCAUUAAGCAUUCCGCCUGGGGAGUACGGCCGCAAGGCUGAAACUCAAGGGAAUUGACGGGGGCCCGCACAAGCGGUGGAGCAUGUGGUUUAAUUCGAAGCUACGCGAAGAACCUUACCAGGUCUUGACAUACUAUGCAAAUCUAAGAGAUUAGACGUUCCCUUCGGGGACAUGGAUACAGGUGGUGCAUGGUUGUCGUCAGCUCGUGUCGUGAGAUGUUGGGUUAAGUCCCGCAACGAGCGCAACCCUUAUUAUCAGUUGCCAGCAUUAAGUUGGGCACUCUGGUGAGACUGCCGGUGACAAACCGGAGGAAGGUGGGGAUGACGUCAAAUCAUCAUGCCCCUUAUGACCUGGGCUACACACGUGCUACAAUGGAUGGUACAACGAGUUGCGAACUCGCGAGAGUAAGCUAAUCUCUUAAAGCCAUUCUCAGUUCGGAUUGUAGGCUGCAACUCGCCUACAUGAAGUCGGAAUCGCUAGUAAUCGCGGAUCAGCAUGCCGCGGUGAAUACGUUCCCGGGCCUUGUACACACCGCCCGUCACACCAUGAGAGUUUGUAACACCCAAAGUCGGUGGGGUAACCUUUUAGGAACCAGCCGCCUAAGGUGGGACAGAUGAUUAGGGUG